rnacentral:lncRNA from 1 species
AAAAAGAGGAUGCAGAGGACCCUCUUGCUGCCAUGGGAAGAAGGAAGAAGGGGGCUUGGCAUGAGGAAGAAUUCCUUCUUCCUUGCUGCCGUGUGGAGUGCUCUUCCCUUGCUUCUUCUUCUUUUCUUUCCAAUGCCUUGGAGGAAGAAAAAGGGCCUUCAACUUGUUGUCGUGAGAAAGGAGAAAGGUCUCCUCUUGCUACCGUGGAGAAGGAGGAGAGGAAGAGGGUGGAGGCAUGG